rnacentral:pre_miRNA from 2 species
GAUUUCAACUGAAAAAGUCAUCAACUACAAAAUUGUAUAACUCAUCAAGAUCUAAAACUUUUAUUUUUGUCAUUUCUUCAUCCAACAAAAUGUUAGUAAUAUUGUUCAAAAAUUUUACAUAUCUGUGUUAUAGUUUAUAAAACCAAGAUAAGAUAUAUGUCAAUUUUGUGAACAAUCUUACUAUCACUUCGUCGGAUGAACAAAUGACCAAAAUACAAGUUUUAGAUUUUUAUGAGUUAUUGAACAUUGUUGUUGAUGACUUUUUUCAGUUGAAAUC